rnacentral:rRNA from 1 species
CUUAUCUGGUAAAGCGAAUGAUUAAAGGCCUUAGGGCCGAAACGACCUUAACCUAUUCUCAAACUUUAAAUGGGUAAGAACCUUGCCUUACUUGAUAUGAAGGUACAGGUUAUGAUAUAUUGUGCCCAGUGGGCCACUUUUGGUAAGCAAACUGGCGCUGUGGGAUGAACCAAACGUGAUGUUACGGCGCCAAAAUUAACAACUCAUACUGAUACCAUGAAAGGCGUUGCUUGCUUAAUACAGCAGGACGGUGGACAUGGAAUUCGUAAUCCGAUAAGGAGUGUGUAACAACUCACCUGCCGAACCAACUAGCCCUUAAAAUGGAUGGCGCUUAAGUUGUAUGCCUAUACAUCACCGCUAAAACAUAUGAUUUA